rnacentral:rRNA from 1 species
AUACGGAGGGUGCAAGCGUUAUGCGGAAUCACUGGGCGUAAAGGACGCGUAGGCGGGUUGGCAAGUCAGAUGUGAAAUCCUACAGCUUAACUGUAGAACUGCAUUUGAAACUGCUAACCUAGAGUAUGGGAGGGGGAGAUGGAAUUAGUGGUGUAGGGGUAAAAUCCGUAGAUAUCACUAGGAAUACCGAAAGCGAAGGCGAUCUCCUGGAACAUAACUGACGCUAAGGCGUGAAAGCGUGGGGAGCAAACAGGAUUAGAAACCCUUGUAGUCC